rnacentral:rRNA from 1 species
ACUCCUGCGGGAGGCAGCAGUGGGGAAUAUUGGACAAUGGGCGCAAGCCUGAUCCAGCCAUGCCGCGUGAGUGAUGAAGGCCCUAGGGUUGUAAAGCUCUUUCACCGGAGAAGAUAAUGACGGUAUCCGGAGAAGAAGCCCCGGCUAACUUCGUGCCAGCAGCCGCGGUAAUACGAAGGGGGCUAGCGUUGUUCGGAAUUACUGGGCGUAAAGCGCACGUAGGCGGAUCGAUCAGUCAGGGGUGAAAUCCCAGGGCUCAACCCUGGAACUGCCUUUGAUACUGUCGAUCUGGAGUAUGGAAGAGGUGAGUGGAAUUCCGAGUGUAGAGGUGAAAUUCGUAGAUAUUCGGAGGAACACCAGUGGCGAAGGCGGCUCACUGGUCCAUUACUGACGCUGAGGUGCGAAAGCGUGGGGAGCAAACAGGAUUAGAUACCCGAGUAGUCCCAUG